GUAUAAAUGUAUCCGUACGUUUAUCAAUUAUUGUGCAAAAAUAAUGUAUCUUUUCGUGUUCCUGCUUGUUAAACUUUUAAUUAUUUGUGCAUUACACAUAUACAUUUCGACGAAAAAAUAUCAGUAGAUAACUAAUGAAAACUUGAAUAGUAAACUCACCAUAUAUAAUCGUUAAAUCCAGUGGAUAAUAUUUAUAUUUAGACGACACACA
rnacentral:lncRNA from 1 species